GGCACAUGGGGCCAGGUUUGGCACCCGGGACUGGCAUCUGGGACCAGGACUAGUAGCUGGGACUGGCACCCAGGACUGGCCCCUGGAGCUGGCACUGGCACCUGGGAAUGGCCCCUGGAGCUGGCACUGGCACUUGGAGCUGGGAUUGGCACCUGGGACCAGGACUAGUACCCAGGACUGGCACCUGGGACUGAGACUGGCACCCGGGACUGGCACCUGGCACUGGCACUGGCACUGUGCUCCGGGCCCCAGCUCCCCGUGGCGCUGUCCCCGUGGCGCUGUCCCCUCCUGCCCCAGCUCUCCGUGGGGCUGUCCCCCAUCCCCUGCAGCAGCAGCGAUUCCUCCGCAAUCCUUGGGCAGCGCUCGCUGGGAGGGGAAAGGAGCGAGCCCGGAGCUCCCGGGGCUGCCGGGGCGGCUCCUCCCGGUGCCAGCUCAGAGCCCCCGGUGCCACCCGAGCUCUGGCCCAGACGGGUCUCCAGACGUCUGCGCUGUCUGAGGUUUGCCCAGCCCUGCUCUGUUCCCUUCCCGGGAUUCCCAGCCUGAAUUGUUCCCUAAUUGAUUCCAGGGCUGGGGAAGAGCAGGAACAGCCCCCAGCCCCCAGGGACGCGGUUGGGGCCGGGUUUGCCUGGUCCCUCCUGACCCAUUCCCUCUUUUCCUCCUCCCCUCUUUUCCUGGGCUCUCUUGGUUCCUUCUUUUUCUUGUUCCCUCUUUUCCUGGCUUCUCCUGGUUCCAUUUUUUCCAGGUCUCUUCUGGUUUCCUUCUUUUCCUGGUCCCUCUUGGUUCCUUUUCCUGCUCCCUCCCAAUUCCCUUCUUUCCUGGUCCCUCCUGAUUCCCUUCUUUCCUGGUCCCUCCUGGUUCCCUCUUUUCCUGAUUCCUUCCUGAAUCCCUUUUUUCCUGAUCUCCUGAUUCCUUCUUUUCCUGGUUUCUCCUGGUUCCCUUUUUUCCUGGUCUUUCCUGAUUCCUUCUUUUCCUGGUCCCUCCUGAUUCCCUCUUUUUCUGGUUCCCUCUUUUCCUAA
rnacentral:lncRNA from 1 species